rnacentral:rRNA from 1 species
UACGUAGGGUCCGAGCGUUGUCCGGAGUUACUGGGCGUAAAGCGCGCGCAGGCGCCGUCCAAGCCCCGGCGUGAAAGCCCUCGGCUCAACCGAGGAACGUCUCGGGGGACUGGGGGGGCUUGAGAGCGGCAGGGGGUCGGUGGAAUUCCCCGGUGUAGUGGUGAAAAUGCGUAGAGAUCGGGGAGGAACACCCCGUGGCGAAGGCGGCUCUCUGGGGACGGUACUGA